rnacentral:rRNA from 1 species
GCAAGUCGACGGCAGCACGGGUGCUUGCACCUGGUGGCGAGUGGCGAACGGGUGAGUAAUACAUCGGAACAUGUCCUGUAGUGGGGGAUAGCCCGGCGAAAGCCGGAUUAAUACCGCAUACGAUCUACGGAUGAAAGCGGGGGACCUUCGGGCCUCGCGCUAUAGGGUUGGCCGAUGGCUGAUUAGCUAGUUGGUGGGGUAAAGGCCUACCAAGGCGACGAUCAGUAGCUGGUCUGAGAGGACGACCAGCCACACUGGGACUGAGACACGGCCCAGACUCCUACGGGAGGCAGCAGUGGGGAAUUUUGGACAAUGGGCGAAAGCCUGAUCCAGCAAUGCCGCGUGUGUGAAGAAGGCCUUCGGGUUGUAAAGCACUUUUGUCCGGAAAGAAAUCCUUGGUUCUAAUAUAGCCGGGGGAUGACKGUACCGGAAGAAUAAGCACCGGCUAACUACGUGCCAGCAGCCGCGGUAAUACGUAGGGUGCAAGCGUUAAUCGGAAUUACUGGGCGUAAAGCGUGCGCAGGCGGUUUGCUAAGACCGAUGUGAAAUCCCCGGG